UUUUUUUUUUUUUUUUUUGACUGGGUAAGAAGUAGAACAAAGACAGUCUACCCAUACUUCCUACAAUUUAUUGCUAGAGUAUGGGCCUUGUGAACUAUGCUUCGCUGAACUUUAAUGCAGGCUAUGAAAUCUCUGGUGGUUGCUGCAUCUUUUAUGUCUGUGAUAAUCUGCCUUAAUUCAUCUUCCGCUUGUGCUGGUUGUCUCAGUGCUUGUACCACUUUAUCGGAGUCCGAUUUGAUAACCAGAUUUCUGAACUCUUCAGGGACUUCUCUUGAUGCUCUCAAUAUUGCCACCCCUUCUGCUUGAUUCGACGUUAAAGCAAAAAUUCUGGAGGCUCCUUGAAACUGUCUGGUUUGGCCAUGUUCUGCUAAGGCUGCAGUUGCUUUCCAUAUCUUCUUCCCGUUAUUCUCCUUCUGCUUCCAGGCUGCAUCCACACAUAUUGAAAGAAAAGGUGUUAUUUGCUGCUUCCCAUCUGAAGACGUGUGACUGUACUAACUCCAAUAUGGUACUUGGGUUAACACUCACGCCCUUGAAAAUGAUGUCAUUUCUAUGGAUCCAGAUGGCCCACAAUACAGCCAAAAACCAUACCAUGGGUGAAUGCUGACGGUCUUUCUUCUUCAUUAGAUAGAGAGGACACUGGUUAGAAGUGUAGAUGCCUCUUUUCUCAAGGUUACUUUUCCACAGAUCCUUCCAGAAAUUCGAUACUCUAGGUGACCACAUUUGAGGCUUGUUCUUGUGCACUUGAAACCAGUAACUUGUCUU